rnacentral:rRNA from 1 species
UAGGGAAUAUUGCGCAAUGGGCGAAAGCCUGACCCAGCAACGCCGCGUGAAGGAUGAAGUAUUUCGGUAUGUAAACUUCGUAAGAAUAGGAAGAAUAAAUGACGGUACUAUUUGUAAGGUCCGGCUAACUACGUGCCAGCAGCCGCGGUAAUACGUAGGGACCAAGCGUUGUUCGGAUUUACUGGGCGUAAAGGGCGCGUAGGCGGUGUGUCAAGUCAGUUGUGAAAUCUCCGAGCUUAACUCGGAACGGUCAACUGAUACUGUCACACUAGAGUACAGAAGGGGCAAUCGGAAUUCUUGGUGUAGCGGUGAAAUGCGUAGAUAUCAAGAGGAACACCUGAGGCGAAGGCGGGUUGCUGGGCUGAUACUGACGCUGAGGCGCGAAAGCUAGGGUAGCAAACGGGAUUAGAUACCCCCGUAGUCCCUGAGCGGGCUGGCAAGGCGCAU